CCUACGGGUGGCAGCAGUGAGGAAUAUUGGUCAAUGGACGAGAGUCUGAACCAGCCAAGUAGCGUGAAGGAUGACUGCCCUAUGGGUUGUAAACUUCUUUUAUAUGGGAAUAAAACGUUCCACGUGUGGGAUUUUGUAUGUACCAUAUGAAUAAGGAUCGGCUAACUCCGUGCCAGCAGCCGCGGUAAUACGGAGGAUCCGAGCGUUAUCCGGAUUUAUUGGGUUUAAAGGGAGCGUAGGUGGAUUGUUAAGUCAGUUGUGAAAGUUUGCGGCUCAACCGUAAAAUUGCAGUUGAAACUGGCAGUCUUGAGUACAGUAGAGGUGGGUGGAAUUCGUGGUGUAGCGGUGAAAUGCUUAGAUAUCACGAAGAACUCCGAUUGCGAAGGCAGUUCACUGGACUGCAACUGACACUGAGGCUCGAAAGUGUGGGUAUCAAACAGGAUUAGAUACCCCAGUAGUC
rnacentral:rRNA from 1 species